rnacentral:rRNA from 1 species
CAGCAGCCGCGGUAAUACAGAGGGUGCGAGCGUUAAUCGGAUUUACUGGGCGUAAAGCGUGCGUAGGCGGCUUCUUAAGUCGGAUGUGAAAUCCCUGAGCUUAACUUAGGAAUUGCAUUCGAUACUGGGAAGCAGAGUAUGGGAGAGGAUGGUAGAAUUCCAGGUGUAGCGGUGAAAUGCGUAGAGAUCUGGAGGAAUACCGAUGGCGAAGGCAGCCAUCUGGCUUAAUACUGACGCUGAGGUACGAAAGCAUGGGGAGCAAACAGGAUUAGAUACUCCCGUAGUCCCUGUCUCUUAUACA